rnacentral:rRNA from 1 species
AGAGUUUGAUCCUGGCUCAGGAUGAACGCUGGCGGCGUGCCUAAUACAUGCAAGUCGAGCGAACGGACGAGAAGCUUGCUUCUCUGAUGUUAGCGGCGGACGGGUGAGUAACACGUGGAUAACCUACCUAUAAGACUGGGAUAACUUCGGGAAACCGGAGCUAAUACCGGAUAAUAUUUUGAACCGCAUGGUUCAAAAGUGAAAGACGGUCUUGCUGUCACUUAUAGAUGGAUCCGCGCUGCAUUAGCUAGUUGGUAAGGUAACGGCUUACCAAGGCAACGAUGCAUAGCCGACCUGAGAGGGUGAUCGGCCACACUGGAACUGAGACACGGUCCAGACUCCUACGGGAGGCAGCAGUAGGGAAUCUUCCGCAAUGGGCGAAAGCCUGACGGAGCAACGCCGCGUGAGUGAUGAAGGUCUUCGGAUCGUAAAACUCUGUUAUUAGGGAAGAACAUAUGUGUAAGUAACUGUGCACAUCUUGACGGUACCUAAUCAGAAAGCCACGGCUAACUACGUGCCAGCAGCCGCGGUAAUACGUAGGUGGCAAGCGUUAUCCGGAAUUAUUGGGCGUAAAGCGCGCGUAGGCGGUUUUUUAAGUCUGAUGUGAAAGCCCACGGCUCAACCGUGGAGGGUCAUUGGAAACUGGAAAACUUGAGUGCAGAAGAGGAAAGUGGAAUUCCAUGUGUAGCGGUGAAAUGCGCAGAGAUAUGGAGGAACACCAGUGGCGAAGGCGACUUUCUGGUCUGUAACUGACGCUGAUGUGCGAAAGCGUGGGGAUCAAACAGGAUUAGAUACCCUGGUAGUCCACGCCGUAAACGAUGAGUGCUAAGUGUUAGGGGGUUUCCGCCCCUUAGUGCUGCAGCUAACGCAUUAAGCACUCCGCCUGGGGAGUACGACCGCAAGGUUGAAACUCAAAGGAAUUGACGGGGACCCGCACAAGCGGUGGAGCAUGUGGUUUAAUUCGAAGCAACGCGAAGAACCUUACCAAAUCUUGACAUCCUUUGACAACUCUAGAGAUAGAGCUUUCCCCUUCGGGGGACAAAGUGACAGGUGGUGCAUGGUUGUCGUCAGCUCGUGUCGUGAGAUGUUGGGUUAAGUCCCGCAACGAGCGCAACCCUUAAGCUUAGUUGCCAUCAUUAAGUUGGGCACUCUAAGUUGACUGCCGGUGACAAACCGGAGGAAGGUGGGGAUGACGUCAAAUCAUCAUGCCCCUUAUGAUUUGGGCUACACACGUGCUACAAUGGACAAUACAAAGGGCAGCGAAACCGCGAGGUCAAGCAAAUCCCAUAAAGUUGUUCUCAGUUCGGAUUGUAGUCUGCAACUCGACUACAUGAAGCUGGAAUCGCUAGUAAUCGUAGAUCAGCAUGCUACGGUGAAUACGUUCCCGGGUCUUGUACACACCGCCCGUCACACCACGAGA